CAAACACCCACAAGCACUCCUUUCUCUCUCUUCGACCCACCUGCACAGCUGCACGAAACUCCACCUGAAACGAGCCACUCUGACACCUUUGAACUCGCUGCUGCAUUCUCCCUAUCCGGCGACACGCAGCUGUUCCUCUUUUCCCCUGUUUUGUUUUUGCCGCAAGAUUAAGGAAAAAGGGAUAUUACAAGCCUCCCCCGACUAUCAAAGUUACUAAGCAGGAUUUGAGGUAAUGACGGGGAUGACGGAAUGGCGUAGCAGUGAGGAAUAAUUACUACUUAAAUUAUGCAGACUCUUACUAUUAUGUAUUCUAAGCUUAAGAACAUAAAUUUGUGAACCUUAACUAU